UCCUUGGAGGACUAGUGGUUAGGCCUUGGCGCUCUCUCCGCCACGGCCUAGGUUUGAUUCCUGGUCAGGGAA
rnacentral:tRNA from 1 species